GACGAACGCUGGCGGCAUGCCUUACACAUGCAAGUCGAACGGCAGCACGGGAGCAAUCCUGGUGGCGAGUGGCGAACGGGUGAGUAAUGUAUCGGAACGUGCCCAGUCGUGGGGGAUAACGUAGCGAAAGCUACGCUAAUACCGCAUACGAUCUAUGGAUGAAAGCGGGGGAUCGCAAGACCUCGCGCGAUUGGAGCGGCCGAUAUCAGAUUAGGUAGUUGGUGGGGUAAAGGCCCACCAAGCCUGCGAUCUGUAGCUGGUCUGAGAGGACGACCAGCCACACUGGAACUGAGACACGGUCCAGACUCCUACGGGAGGCAGCAGUGGGGAAUUUUGGACAAUGGGCGCAAGCCUGAUCCAGCAAUGCCGCGUGCAGGAUGAAGGCCUUCGGGUUGUAAACUGCUUUUGUACGGAACGAAACGGCUUUUUCUAAUACAGAGAGCUAAUGACGGUACCGUAAGAAUAAGCACCGGCUAACUACGUGCCAGCCGCCGCGGUAA
rnacentral:rRNA from 1 species